rnacentral:rRNA from 1 species
GACGAACGCUGGCGGCGUGCUUCAUACAUGCAAGUCGAACGAGAAGCUGACUUCGGUCAGUGGAAAGUGGCGGACGGGUGAGUAAUAUGUUGGAAAUCUGCCUUUAGGAGGGGGACAACAGAGGGAAACUUCUGCUAAUACCCCAUAUGAGCGUAGCUGAAAUGCUAUUCUUGAAAACUCCGGUGCCUAAAGAUGAGCCUGCAUCUGAUUAGCUAGUUGGUAGUGUAAUGGACUACCAAGGCGACGAUCAGUAGCUGGUUUGAGAGGAUGAUCAGCCACAAUGGGACUGAGACACGGCCCAUACUCCUACGGGAGGCAGCAGUAGGGAAUUUUGCGCAAUGGGCGAAAGUCUGACGCAGCUACGCCGCGUGAACGAUUAAGCCCUUCGGGGUGUAAAGUUCUGUCAGUGGGGACGAAACUUGACGGUACCCACAGAGGAAGCACCGGCUAACUACGUG